rnacentral:rRNA from 1 species
AAAUUGACACCGUAACUUCGGGAGAAGGUGUGCCCUUGAGGGUGAGUGACUUCGCGUCAUGAGCCUUUGGGGGUUGCAGAGAAUCGGGGGUAGCGACUGUUUAUCAAAAACACAGGACUCUGCGAAGUCGUAAGACGACGUAUAGGGUCUGACGCCUGCCCGGUGCUGGAAGGUUAACAGGAGAUGUCAGGGCAACCGAAGCAUCGAAUCGAAGCCCCAGUAAACGGCGGCCGUAACGAUAACGGUCCUAAGGUAGCGAAAUUCCUUGGCGGGUAAGUUCCGUCCUGCACGAAUGGCGUAACGACUUCCCCACUGUCUCGACCCGGGACUCAGCGAAAUUGAAAUCGGGGUGAAGAUGCCCCGUACCCGCGGCAAGACGGAAAGACCCCGUGAACCUUUACUGCAGCUUGGCACUGGUUUUCGGAUUUGUCUGUGUAGGAUAGGUGGGAGGCUGUGAAGUGGGGCCGCUAGGUUCCACGGAGCCAACGUUGAAAUACCACCCUGACAAAUCUGAAAGCCUAACCGUGACCCGUAAGCCGGGUCCGGAACACUGCCUGGUGGGUAGUUUGACUGGGGCGGUCACCUCCGAAAAAGUAACGGAGGCGCGCAAAGGUUCCCUCAGGCUGAUUGGAAACCAGCCGUAGAGUGUAAAAGCACAAGGGAGCUUGACUGCAACUCAUACGAGAGGAGCAGGUACGAAAGUAGGCUUUAGUGAUCCGGUGGUUCUGAAUGGAAGGGCCAUCGCUCAACGGAUAAAAGGUACUCCGGGGAUAACAGGCUUAUCACGCCCAAGAGUUCGCAUCGACGGCGUGGUUUGGCACCUCGAUGUCGGCUCAUCGCAUCCUGGGGCUGUAGUAGGUCCCAAGGGUUUGGCUGUUCGCCAAUUAAAGCGGUACGCGAGCUGGGUUCAAAACGUCGUGAGACAGUUUGGUCCCUAUCUGCCGUGGGCGCAGGAGUCUUGAGGUGGAUCUGUCCCUAGUACGAGAGGACCGGGAUGGACGAACCCCUGGUGUUCCGGUUGUUUUGCCAGAGGCAUUGCCGGGUAGCUAUGUUCGGAACGGAUAACCGCUGAAAGCAUCUAAGCGGGAAGCCAACCACAAGAUGAGGACUCCCUGAAGGCCCGUUGUAGACUACGACGUUGAUAGGCUGGGUGUGGAAGUGCGGCAACGCAUGGAGCUAACCAGUACUAAUCGGCCGUUUGGCUUGACC